GUUGUGUGUGGAUGGUGUUCAGCACCAAGGACAGGUUUUGUUGUGUGUGGAUGGUGUUCAGCACCAAGGACAGGUUUUGUUGUGU
rfam:Branchiostoma floridae genomic scaffold BRAFLscaffold_200, whole genome shotgun sequence.